UUGUUCAAGAAGUUUAAGAAAUCUAUUUCUUUUUUGGGUUAGCGCAAGAAUGAGAAUGAUGAUGGGUGUGUGUAGAUGGUAAUUAAUUAAUGGUGAGACAUUUUUGUUGAUGAUGAUGAUGAUUGGUAAUUAAAGCAAGGGUGAUGAAAGAAAUAGAAAGGAGAAUAAGAAGAAGAACAGUAACUAAGACUGGGUUUUUUGCUAUGAAAGAUGGCAGGAAAAGAAGAGGAAUGAGAAAUCUGCUCAAAAGAAUUACCACCCAAAGCCAUAAACUGGCGAAAAAAUUUCACAAGAUUGCACUCCUCUCUCUCUCGCUCUCUCUGUAUCUACCAAUCUACCUUAUUUUUUUGGUGAAAGAGGGAGUGGAUGGAAUUAAAGGAGAGUGUAAGACUUGAGAGAGUGAGUG
rnacentral:misc_RNA from 1 species